rnacentral:piRNA from 1 species
UGUCAUCCUGAGCGCAGGGUUCAAGUGU